GUGCAAAAGUAGUUGUGGUUUUUACAUUAAAAGUAAUGGCAAAAACUGCAAUUACUUUUACACC
rnacentral:miRNA from 10 species